UGAAAGCCAGUGAUUAGCACAAAUGAAUUUGAAUCAUUAAAUGGAGUUGAUACUCCGCUUUCAA
rnacentral:tRNA from 1 species